AGCCACCGUUGUCCGGCUUGUUCUUGAUGUACCUCCUGACGGCCUCGCGGCCCAGCCAGCCCACGAAUUACUCAACUGUAAAAUGCACCUUCUGGCCUACAGUGACACCACGGAGUGUGGCAAUCUUCAUUUUUUUUUUUU